AUUGAACGCUGUCGGCAGGCCUAACACAUGCAAGUCGAGCGAGCGGCGGACGGGUGAGUAAUGUCUGGGAAACUGCCUGAUGGAGGGGGAUAACUACUGGAAACGGUAGCUAAUACCGCAUACCAUCGGAUGUGCCCAGAUGGGAUUAGCUAGUAGGUGGGGUAACGGCUCACCUAGGCGACGAUCCCUAGCUGGUCUGAGAGGAUGACCAGCCACACUGGAACUGAGACACGGUCCAGACUCCUACGGGAGGCAGCAGGGGGGAAUAUUGCACAAUGGGCGCAAGCCUGAUGCAGCCAUGCCGCGUGUAUGAAGAAGGCCUUCGGGUUGUAAAGUACUUUCAGCGAGGAGGCGUUACUCGCAGAAGAAGCACCGGCUAACUCCGUGCCAGCAGCCGCGGUAAUUC
rnacentral:rRNA from 1 species